CGGUAAUACGGAGGAUCCGAGCGUUAUCCGGAAUCACCAAGUUUGGGAAACUUACGGGCGGUCAGAUAAGUCAGUGAUAGGAAUUAAUCGCUCAACGGUGGAACGGCCAUUGAUACCAUUUGACUUGAAUUAUUAGGAAGUAACUAGAAUAUGUAGUGUAGCGGUGAAAUGCUUGAGAGCCGUAUGGAAUACCAAUUGCGAAGGCAGGUUACUACUAAUUGAUUGACGCUGAUGGACAGGGACGUGGGUAGCGAACAGGAUUAGAUACCCUGGUAGUCCACGCCGUAAACGAUGGAUACUAGCUGUUGGGAGCAAUCUCAGUGGCUAAGCGAAAGUGAUAAGUAUCCCGCCUGGGGAGUACGUUCGCAGGAAUGAA
rnacentral:rRNA from 1 species